CAUGGUUUCGUCAAGCACCAUG
rnacentral:miRNA from 17 species